GUUCUUUAUUCUGGAGAAAGGUUAUUAAUCCACUCAAAGAUCACUCUACUGCAACAUUUUUUAUGGCCUUUUACAAACCAGAGUGAAGUCAUUUAUUCCAAGGCUCUAUCUGACUGUCAGGUUUGGGGAGAAGAUUUACUACUUCUGUUCAAGGUAGAAGGAAAUAGAAUAAGGCUGCUGUGGUUUUCUGCCCUUGGAGGAAGCCUCGAUGUAUUGCCCUUUGCAUCUGGAAUGAAAAGUUUGCUCAUGAAGCUGGAGGAAAACUUUAUGCUUUCAGAAGGUGAUACCUGAGCCUGCUUGAAUCAGCCUGUCCCUCUGUUUUUCCCAAAGAUCUUAUGCUUACUCCUGUCAGAAUUGGACUGAACUGUGGGACACCCAGUUGGUGUUAGAGAAUUGCUGGGGGACCAGGUAAGAACUUUGGAGGUAACGACCCUAAAAACUAUGAAAAGCGGCCAAGCACCCAGUCUCAGCUGUCUCCACAAAGGCACUUCAAAAACAGUUGAAGACCGAGCAUAAUAUUCAACAGAUCCUUCUGAAGUGAAAGGAGAUAUAUCCAUAGAGCCCUCAGGAAUCAGCACUUUGGUAUCAAUGUCUCCUGUUUUGUGAUCAGCUCUCCAGCAGGUGUACUCCCUCCUUCAGCUGGAGCCAUGAAGGAACAGAACCACCUGCCCAUGAAAGUGGUUCCCCAGACGGAGGCUGAGCAUGGGGUUCGCACAGAGUGCUCUCGCUCGGACUGAACAUCUUGCCCCAGGGCUGGGAGACCCGCCUCAACCUGAAAUCCUUUCGUGGAGAUCAGACUACAGCAUUCAUCUUUUUGCCUCUUUGCCUCUUUGUUGUUCAGCUCUUCCCUGCACCUUCAGUCUGUGGUUUUCUUUCAUUCACACCCACCUUCCACCCUGCUCACCUUCAGGAUUUUUCAUCUGUAUCUACCACAUUCAUCAGGGAAUAAAUGUAUAAUCCUUCUUCUGGCUGUCAGUCAAUUUGAAUACUGGUUAUCUUCCCAGCCAUGAACUGUAUAGCACAGCUCUGUCCUUGGUUUUGGAAGAACAGUGAGUCAACAUUAUCUUCGCUGAAGGCUGGAUCUUAACCACCUUAUAGCACCAUUAAUCUGUCAAAUCAUCCCCAAACUGCAAGGCAUUAUGUAUUAUCUAAACUGAGACUUCUUUUCUAUUAAAGGGUAUUGUCCCCGCCUCUUAUGGUUCUGCAUACUUCCCGGGAGGGAUAGCAUGAGAGAGGGCAUGUGUGGGAUGUUUAGGAGGGGAGGGCCCCUUUCAUCCCUGGCGGGCACAUUAGAAAACAGAUCAUGGUGGAGACCAGAGCAUGGUAGAAACUAGUCAAUAGCAAGUAGAAGAGAGUUCAUGAUUUUUUGUUUUUUUGUUUUCCAGUUCAUUUUUCAUUUUAAAAAUUAUAAGUUAUUUUUUUUGC